UACAGGGGGUGCAAACGUUGCUCGGAAUUACUGGCCGUAAAGGGCGCGUAGGCGGCCCGCUAAGUCGAACGUGAAAUCCCCAGGCUUAACCUGGGAACUGCGUCCGAUACUGGCAGGCUUGAAUCCGGGAGAGGGAUGUGGAAUUCCAGGUGUAGCGGUGAAAUGCGUAGAUAUCUGGAGGAACACCGGUGGCGAAGGCGGCAUCCUGGACCGGCAUUGACGCUGAGGCGCGAAAGCUAGGGGAGCAAACGGG
rnacentral:rRNA from 1 species